AGAAAUACUAACAAAAAUCAAUACCACAUUAAGAAAAUAAUAUACCAUGACCAAGUGGAAUUUUUGCAAAAUUGGUUCAAAAUUAGACUAUCUUUCAAUAUGAGGAAAUCCACUAAAUAUAAUACCCCAUAUGAACAGACCUAUGGAGAAAAAUAAUAUAUUAUCUCCAUAGAUAGUGAAAGAACCUGCAACAGAAAUCAACAUCUAUUCUGGAUAAAAACAUUCAAGAAAGUGGAAAUUAAUAGAUAUUUCCUUUUAAUAUGAACAAAUAUAAACUCCCAAUUGGUUAGGGUUCUAAAUGUAUACAUGGAAACGAUAAGAUACUACAAGAAAACUAAAGUAAAUUCUACAUUAA
rnacentral:lncRNA from 1 species